AUUGAACGCUGGCGGCAUGCCUUACACAUGCAAGUCGAACGGUAACGGGCCUUCGGGUGCCGACGAGUGGCGAACGGGUGAGUAAUACAUCGGAACGUGCCCGAUCGUGGGGGAUAACGAGGCGAAAGCUUUGCUAAUACCGCAUACGAUCUACGGAUGAAAGCAGGGGACCGCAAGGCCUUGCGCGGACGGAGCGGCCGAUGGCAGAUUAGGUAGUUGGUGGGAUAAAAGCUUACCAAGCCGACGAUCUGUAGCUGGUCUGAGAGGAUGAUCAGCCACACUGGGACUGAGACACGGCCCAGACUCCUACGGGAGGCAGCAGUGGGGAAUUUUGGACAAUGGGCGCAAGCCUGAUCCAGCCAUGCCGCGUGCAGGUUGAAGGCCUUCGGGUUGUAAACUGCUUUUGUACGGAACGAAAAGCCUUCUUUUAAUACAGGAGGGUCAUGACGGUACCGUAAGAAUAAGCACCGGCUAACUACGUG
rnacentral:rRNA from 1 species